rnacentral:misc_RNA from 1 species
CCCGGGGCACAGAGCGCCAACUCGGCGUAGGUACCCGACCCGCCGUUGGUUCCGUGCACGUAGACGCGGUCGCCUUCGGAGAAUCCCCGCACAUCUUCGCCGAUUGAGACGAUCUCACCAGCGCCGUCCGAGCCCGGCGUGUAAGGGAGCGCGGGUUUGCGGGCGUACGCACCGCUUCGCAUGUAGGUGUCGACGGGAUUCACGCCGGCCGCGCGAAUGCGGACGAGGAUGUCCGAGGGGCCGGGCGUCGGAUCGGGAACCUCCUCGAGUCGCAUCACCGAGGGCGGACCGAAUUCACGAACGACGAUUGCAUGCAUCGUGCGCCUGCUGCGGCUUCCACACGCCUUCCACGAACGCUGCCCGUGUGAAUGCUAUCAUCAGAAGUUCGGUGGCCGAUGACCCUGCUCAGAUUGCACAAGACCCUCGGCGUCAAGGUGGGCUCUGGACGAGGGGUCCACGUCGGUGGCGGCGCACCAGUCGUCGUCCAGUCGAUGACAAUGACCGACACGGCGGAUGCCGAGGGCACGGCACGGCAGUGCAUCGAGCUCGCCGAAGCGGGAUCCGAAUUGGUCCGCGUCACGGUGAACCUGCCCGAGGCGGCGGCUGCAGUGCCCGAGAUCAAGUCGCGCAUGCUCGACGCCGGGUGCGGCGCUCCGCUGAUCGGAGACUUCCACUACAACGGCCACCUGCUGCUCA